GAUGAACGCUAGCGGCAGGCCUAACACAUGCAAGUCGAGGGGUAACUAGAGUGAUAGCAAUAUUACUUUGGCUAGACGGGCGCACGGGUGCGUAACACGUAUGCAACCUACCUUAUACUGGGGAAUAACUUCGAGAAAUCGGCGCUAAUACCCCAUAACAUUGCGAAGAGGCAUCUCUUUGCAAUUAAAGCUCCGGCGGUAUAAGAUGGGCAUGCGUCCAAUUAGCUAGUUGGUGAGGUAACGGCUCACCAAGGCUACGAUUGGUAGGGGUUCUGAGAGGAUGAUCCCCCACACUGGUACUGAGACACGGACCAGACUCCUACGGGAGGCAGCAGUGAGGAAUAUUGCGCAAUGGACGAAAGUCUGACGCAGCCAUGCCGCGUGCAGGAUGACGGCCCUAUGGGUUGUAAACUGCUUUUGUACGGGAAUAAACCCUUCUACGUGUAGGAGGCUGAAGGUACCGUAAGAAUAGGCACCGGCUAACUCCGUGCCAGCCGCCGCGGUAA
rnacentral:rRNA from 1 species